rnacentral:rRNA from 1 species
AUUGAACGCUGGCGGCGGGCCUAACACAUGCAAGUCGAACGAGUGGCGGACGGGUGAGUGAUGUCUUGGAAACUGCCCGAUGGAGGGGGAUAACGACUGGAACCGGUAGCUAAUACCGCAUACCAUCGGUUCUGCACAGGUGGGAUUAGCUAGUCGGUGGGAUAAAGUCUCACCUAGGCGACGAUCCCUAGCUGGUCUGAGAGGAUGAACAGCCACACUGGAACUGAGACACGGGCCAGACUCCUACGGGAGGCAGCAGUGGGGAAUAUUGCACAAUGGGCGCAAGCCUGAUGCAGCAAUGCCGCGUGGAUGAAGAAGGCCUUCGGGUUGUAAAGUACGUUGAGCGGGGAGGCGUUACCCGAAGAAGAAGCAACGGCUAACUCCGUGCCAGCAGCCGCGGUAAUAC